rnacentral:rRNA from 1 species
CGUCUAUAUACGUAUAGCAUAUCAAUAAGCGGAGGAAAAGAAACUAACAAGGAUUCCCUUAGUAACGGCGAGUGAAGCGGGAAGAGCUCAAAUUUGAAAUCUUCAAGGUUUUACCUUGACGAAUUGUAGUUUAAAGAAGUGUUUUCUGUUGGAGUUUUGGUAAAAGUUCUUUGGAAUAGGACAUCAUAGAGGGUGAGAAUCCCGUAUUUGACCAGUUACUUUCCAGCUGUGUGAUACACUUUCAAAGAGUCGGAUUGUUUGGGAAUGCAGUCCAAAAUGGGUGGUAAAUUUCAUCUAAAGCUAAAUAUUGGCGAGAGACCGAUAGCGAACAAGUACCGUGAGGGAAAGAUGAAAAGAACUUUGAAAAGAGAGUUAAACAGUACGUGAAAUUGUCAAAAGGGAAGCGUUUGACACCAGUGUUGUUUUUCCGAAAAUCAAUUACGAAUGUUUUAUUUUUGAGGAGUUAUGACUUCAUCGGCUUGCUCCUUUCUUUAUGAAACUUUCUUAAUGCACUUUCGGUUAACAAGUCAACAUCAAUUUCUUUUGUUGUAAAAGGGUAUAAGGAAGGUGGCUUUCUUUUCGGAGAAAGUGUUUAUAGCCUUGUGCCUCUGCAAUCGGAGAGAUUGAGGUCUGCAGCGUAGAUCCUUCGGGGUUAGAUACAUUUGUGCUAAGUUAUAGCUUUUCAUAGACAACUUGUUGACUAUGUUUAGUCUUGUAGCUUACUCGCUUAUGCUAUUUUACCUACGCUUAGGAUGUUGACGAGACUGUCGAUCUC